rnacentral:rRNA from 1 species
AACGUAGGACGCAAGCGUUAUCCGGAAUUACUGGGCGUAAAGCGUGCGUAGGCGGUUCGUUAAGUCAGCUGUGAAAGCCCCGGGCUCAACCUGGGAACUGCGGUUGAAACUGGCGAACUAGAAUCUGGCAGAGGGGGGUGGAAUUCCACGUGUAGCAGUGAAAUGCGUAGAGAUGUGGAGGAACACCGAUGGCGAAGGCAGCCCCCUGGGCUGAGAUUGACGCUCAGGCACGAAAGCGUGGGGAGCAAACAGG